UACCCAGUAACUAUUAUUCCGGGAUAAUCAUCAAUAAAUGGCAGUAUAUAAAACUUGAUCGUAUUUCGUAGAGUACCUGUACGGCGGUAAACUGUAUGCGGUUUUAUUAUAAAACGCAAUGAUGACCGAUCGCUUAAACUAUUUUUCGAGUACUAGUCCGUAUGAAAUUUGAUAAAACAAAGAAAAAAGACGGACAUAUAUACUUCGCACAAUUAGGUGGAUUAUUAUUUUAGAUGAGAAGUUGGAAAGG